AGGUCUAUGUCUACCCAUGGUGCUCAUUUUAGGGUCAGUGUCAGCUGGUGGUGUCAUCCUAGCAGCGAUGCUGGUAGGCUGCUGUAUUGGGAGGAGAAGGAGAAUAUUUAACACCACAGGUGCAGAACUCAAAGGACUUCAGCCUUCAGAAUGAGGAAGGAGGCGAUCAAACCUGUCGAAACCUAUAACGGAGAGGAGAUAGAGGUUGUGGAGGCUGCUGAGGGGAGGACGGCUCAUAGUAAUGGCUGGAAUGGAGUUAAUGGAAUGGUAUCAAAUGUGGUUUCCAUGUGGUUCAUAUCAUUCCAUUGACUCCAUUCCAGCCAUUAAUAUGAGCCGUCCUCCCCUCAGCAGCCUCCACUGUUGUCGAGUCAUUAGUGGACCUAUUGUAGCAGACAGAGGUUAUUGAUAAGAAACUCGAAUGGAAAUAACAUAUUGAUUGAUUUAUUGUGCUCCAACCGGAGACCACAUUACAUACAGGCAGUUAACCCACUGUUCCUAGGCCGUCAUUGAAAAUAAGAAUUAGUUCUUAACAGACUUGCCUAGUUAAAUAAAGGUAAAAUAAAUAAAUAAAAUACAUUAAUACAUUAUCGAGGAUAAAAACACAAAGGCCGGAGUCUUAUUUCCAUUGGGGUCUUCAUUUGGCAGUGAGAUGGCAGACACUUUUCAUGCACUCAAUGCAAUUAAAAUGAAGAACAGUAGCCAUUUACAACCAUUUCCAACGAUAUCCAUUUACAACAUUUGAGAACAAUAUCAACAGCACAGAGGUCCCGUUUGAGUCACCUCGUCAAAGAAUACCCUUAAUCAAAUGGACAUGUUAUUUCUCAGGGAUGUUUUUAGUGACACCUUAAAGCAAUUCUAUGAUGCCAGAGAUUUCAGGUUAGCCUGGUAAAACUGUCCCAUAGAACUGCAGCAGAAUCCAGGAAAUCGUUUUCCACCAUGGAGCUCUUGAAUCUACAGGGAACAAAGUUUCCUCUGGUGGAAUACUGAUUGGUGUCAUUUAUACGGCUAAAAUCAUUUUGUUGUCAAACCCCAAUUUAAACUGGGUGACUUUAGUUUCCACCACGCCGUUUCAGUUGAUCAAAGUGAGAUGGUUCAAGAUAAAUAUUAGGUGGAAGUUUCAGAAUAAUCUUGGCUCUUAUUCUGAGAGGUCAUAGGAUUGUUCUUUAUAUCUUGGGGGGAACCGCUGUACCAAGAGGCACAACCAUAAUCAAAAUGACACUGCAUACCAGUACCUAUUUCCUUUGUUCUUUCAUUGUAUGCAUUCAUUGACUUCUAAUAAGUAUUUCUUAUGGCAUUGGCUUGUUUCUAUCAGUUCGAUCAGUUCUUUUGCCAGCUAUGAAUUGGCAGUGGUGUUAAAUUACAUUAAUUACAUUCCCUCCAUAAAUGGAAACUAAUUGUAUUUUAAUACUUUUUUUCCCCCCAUGAGAAAUAAACAAUGAAUCUCUAUCACUUUUUCAAAUGAAGAAGAUAUUAAACCUCACACUUUUUUGUACGGGUUCCUCUUUUCAGAGAAGAAGUGAUAUUUAAUGUCAAACGUACUGUAUAUUAGUAAUUAUAUUAGUUAAUUUUACUCAAAAAGAAACAACCGGUUCCGUUCAGACAGUUCUCUAAACUACAGACUGGAAUAACUCUUAGAUGCUCAGACUGUACACAGCCAGAUAGAGUGCCUUCGGAAAGUAUUCAGACCACUUGACAUUCUUACGUUACAGCCUCAUUCUAAAAACGUUUUUCCCCUCAUCAAUCUAUACACAAUAUCCCACAAUGACAAAGCAAAAACAGGGUUAGCUAAUUUAUUAGAAAUAAAAAACGGAAAUGUGACUUACAUGCGUUUUCAGACCCUUUUCAAUACUUUGAAGCACCUUUGGCAGUGAAUACAGCAUUGAGUCAUCUUGGGUAUGACGCAACAAUAAACCCUUCCCCACAUCUGUGCUUCGACACAAUCCUGUCUCUGAGCUCUUACGGACAAUUCCUUCGACCUCAUGGCUUGGAUUUUGCUCUGACAUGCACUGUCAACUGUGGGACCUUAUAUAGACAGGUGUGUGCCUUUCCAAAUCAUGUCCAAUCAAUUGAAUUUACCACAGGUAGACUCCAAUCAAGUUUAAACAGUAUAAACAUAUCAAGGAUGAUCGAUGGAAACAGGAUUCACCUGAACUCAAUUUCGAGUCUCAUAGCAAAGGUGCUGAAUACUUAUGUAAAUAUUUGCGUUUUUUCUUUUUUUUUUAACCUGUUUUCGCUUUGUCAUUAUGGGGUAUUGUGUGUAGAUUGCUGAGGAUUAUUAUUAUUUUUAAAUCCAUGUGUGGAACAAUUUGGAAAAUGACAAGGGGUCUGAAUAUUUUCUGAAGGCACUGUAUAGUCAAGCUAUUAUAAAGCUUUUCUCCACUUGUUGGAAAUGCAUUGAGACCAGUUUGCAACCAUAAGAAGAGACAUGGAGGCUGUAUUUGGAUUGUUGGUGAUGUUAGCAGGAGUGUCUCAUGGUACGUUUAUUGUUAGAGUUCUUAUGCAGUUGUCCUGCUAUGAAUUGAUCAUAAGGGAAAAAUAUGUCUAGGCUAAUUCAUGAAGUAUUUCUGACAAUGAUUCCACAUCACAGUAUAAUGUUUCUGGACUUCCUGACAGCAGGAACAACAGUGCAGGUUGAGAGCUUCAAGUUCCUUGGCGUCCAUAUCACCAACAAACUAACAUGGUCCAAGCACACCAAGACAGUUUUGAAGAGGGCACAACAAAACCUAUUCCCCCUCAGGACACUGAAAAGAUUUGGCAUCCUCAAAAGGCUUUACAGAUUUACAGAGCAUCCUGACGGGUUGCAUCACUGCCUGUAUGGCAGCUACUUGUCCUCCGACCUCUAGGCACUACAGAGGGUAGUGCUUACGGGCCGUUACAUCACUGGGCCAAGCUUCCUGCCAUCCAGGACCUCUAUAAUAGGCGGUGUCAGCGGAAGACCCUACAAAUUGUCAAAGACUCCAGCCACCCUAGUCAUAGACUGUUCUCUCUGCUACCGUGUUUUAGGCAACAACAAAAAAAGGGGCGGAUCUACAGGAUCGGUGUCCCCCCCAUGGGACGUUUGAGCUAACGUAGGCUAAUGUGAUUAGCAUAAGGUUGUAAGUAACAAAAACAUUUCCCAGGACAUAGACAUAUCUGAUAUGGGCAGAAAGCUUAACUUCUUGUUAAUCUAACUGCACUGUCCAAUUUACAGUAGCUAUUACAGUAAAAUAAUACCAUUCUAUUGUUUGAGGAGAGUGCACAAUUUUGAACAUGAAAAUGUAUUAACCUUUUCAUGUGAGUUCCAAAUACCUCUAACGGUCGCCCCAGCGAGAGUUGUUUUAUGCACGUGAUGUCAGAAUGCGCUCACUGUUCCAAAAUGUGAUUAUUACGCAACAGGACAGUUUACACGUGCUGCCUGCUAAUUAUCUGUAGGCUAUGUUUCAAUAUGUCAAUUUCAAAUCAUUUUCUAACAAGUUGUAUUUUCUAACAACAGUUUGAAUUGAGGUGUGUUCCGCUUCCUCAUUAAUUCACAUUCAGCGUAGCGGACAAAAACUAUCCUUUUGAUUAGAGCCCCCUGCACUUCACUCAUGAUUGCGCAGAUCAAGUAUGCAUCUAUUUGCGCAGUCUUGCAAGAAUUGGACCAUUUACUUGCUGGCGCUCGCUUUGCCUUCCUUGUUGUUUAUGUUGUUAAUAACUUUGGACAUGUGUGCGUUCCUAUCAAAGUAAGUUCUUUAUUUUCUGUAUAUCGUUUUGUAAUUUCUAAUGUAGGCGCAAAAUGUAUGUAUGUAUGUAUGUAUGUAUGUAUGUAUGUAUGUAUGUAUGUAUGUAUACUUGUGACAAAUAAUGCAUUCCGAUUCUUACAUAUAUUGUAAUGGAGACCUAUGAUGUGUGUAAAAUACUUUUUUGAAGGUUUUAUUUUUUAAACUUUAUUUUACCUUUGUAGGUAGGCAAGUUGAGAACAAGUUCUCAUUUACAACUGUGACCUGGCCAAGAUAUCAAUAAGCAGUUCUACACAUACAACAACACAGAGUUACACAUGGAGUAAAACAAACAUAUAGUCAAUAAUACAGUACAAAAACAAGUCUAUAUACAAUGUGAGCAAAUGAGGCCACUGUGGUGAAGUAAAUACAAUAUAGCAAUUAAAAACACUGGAAUUGUAGAUUUGCAGUAGGUGAAUGAGCAAAGUAGAAAUACUGGGGUGCAAGGGAGCAAAAUAGAUAAAUAUAGUAGAGGAUGAGGUAAUUGUUUGGGCUAUUUAUAGAUGGGCUAUGUACAGGUGCAGUGAUAUGUGAGCUGCUCUGACAGCUGGUGCUUAAAGCUGGUGAGGGAGAUAAGUGUUUCCAGUUUCAGAGAUUUUUGUAGUUUGUUCCAGUCAUUGGCAGCAGAGAGCUGGAAGGAGAGGUGGCCAAAGGAGGAAUUGGGGUGACCAGUGAAAUACACCUGCUGGAGCGCGUGCUACGGGUGGGUGCUUCUAUGGUGACCAGCGAGCUGAAAUAUGGCGGGACUUUACGUAGCAGGGUCUUGUAGAUGACCUGGAAGCAGUGGGUUGGCAACGAGUAUGAAGCGAGGGCCAGCCAACGAGAGUGCACAGGUCGCAGUGGUGGGUAGUUAAUGGGUCUUUGGUGACUAAAUGGAUAGCACUGUGAUAGACUGCAUCCAAUUUGUUGAGUAGGGUGUUGGAGGCUAUUUUGUAAAUGACAUCGCCGAAAAGGAUCGGUAGGAUGGUCAGUUUUACAAGGGUAUGUUUGGCAGCAUGAGUGAAGGAUGCUUUGUUUGCGAAAUAGGAAGCCAUUUCUAGAUUUAACUUUUGAUUGGAGAUGUUUGAUGUGAGUCUGGAAGGAGAGUUUACAGUCUAACCAGACACCUAGGUAUUUGUAGUUGUCCACAUAUUCUAAGUCAGAACCGUCCAGGGUAGUGAUGCUGGGCAGGCGGGCAGGUGUAGGCAGCUAUCGGUUGAAGAGUAUGCAUUUAGUUUUACUUGUAUUUAAGAGCAGUUGGAGGCUACAGAAGGAGAGUUGUUUUGCAUUGAAGCUCGUCUGGAGGGUAGUUAACACAGUGUCCAAAGAAGGGCCAGAAGUAUACAGAAUGGCGUCGUCUGCCUAGAGGCGGAUCAGAGACUCACCUGCCUUCUGAAACAUGUGAACAUUCAUGUGCCUUUAUAACAAACUUGUAUUCCAUCCAUAAAUACGAAUCAAAUGUGAAUUAUGAGACAAGUUGGUUUAGCCACGGAAAAUGGAAGGAACCCUCCCACUAAUUUUGUCAGAAUUAAAGCGUACUGUUAGUUAACUAGCAAAUGUAGCUUGCUGGAUCGCUCACGUUACGUGUAGUAAUAUUAUUCUUAUCAGAAAUCCAUUUGCAUUGCUAGUUAUAGCCUAAUGUUAGCUAGCUAACAUUGAACCUAGUUUUUAUUUUAGCUUUAGCUUCCUGUAGAUCCAUACUAUGUUUGUAUUGGUAGUAGUAUGAGUUGGGAUUAUGCCGGUUCAUUGUUAAACUAGCGAGCUACAGGUUUAAACAAAAGACUUCGUCCAGAUGAUUACAGGACCCAUCAAAGUAGGUGUGUCUGGGGGUGAUUAAGGCCAUCUAUUGUAUUUCAUGAACAUGUGUACACGUGUAGACAAUGGUGACCCAUCCACUUAGCUAGGUUGUGGCUGGGUGGUAAUUAUAGCAUUUCCUUCACAUAACCCAUCAAUUUAGACAAGUGUGUUGGGUAAGCGUCAUCUAAUAAUGAUAAAAUAUUCAUCAAAUGUUUUUAUCUGGACACUUUCUGUUUUUGAUAUGGUUACCAUGCAAGUAACCAUUUCAGUGUGCCGUUUAUAUCUUCUGUAUCCUGUGCAUGUGACAAAUACACUUAGAUUUGAUUUGACAUAGUGUUUGUUUACCACAUGGCUUCACAUGUGAUUCCUUAAAGAGAUGGGUGGGGCUAAGGCUGAAGAGGGUGUUAACGAUGCUGAAUGGGUGUAGACAAAGAAGAGCUCUUUAGUAGGUGUACCAAAACACUUGAGGGCCAUUUUCUCAAAAGUGGGGUUACAAAUUGAUCAACUUUCAAGGCAGAAUACAUAAUACCGAAUCGAAGUGGUCGGUAACAAAUGUGUUUUUUUUCAAUACACUAUAUAUUCUGUAUCAAUUGUUUAGCUGGAAUUGAAUAUUCCUAUCAUGUAUAAUGUAUUUGACUGUGUUAUGUGGUUGUCUCACCUAGCUAUCUUAAAAUGAGUGCACUCACUCUAAAUUGCUCUAGAUUACUGUAUGUCGCUCUGGAUAACAGCAUCUGCUAAAUGGAAGAAAAAAAACGUCAAAUGUAAAUGUUUUACAUAAAAAUCUCAUAUUACUGUAUUGAAUAUCUUCUAUAUGUUUUAUUUAUUUAUUGAAAAUGUAGUUAUUUGUUGCAUUUGACUGUGUAAAACACAGCAGUACUACCUAUUUCUCUGAGUGUGAGGUGGAUAUAUAAGGCAUUUUUCACAAAAACAUGAUUAUUUGACUUUCUGAAAUAAAACCAUAAAGUGAAAGAUUUGAAACAAAUACAUUUCUAUCAUUGAAAAAACUCAUCCUGCCAUGAUUAGAUAGUGAAAAAACACACCAAUCUCUUUCAUAAGUUUACAUUUACCAACAUUUCUGAAAAUGGAUAUACAGUGGGGAGAAUAAGUAUUUGAUACCUGCCGAUUUUGCAGGUUUUCCUAGAGGUCUGUAAUGUUUUUAAAUCAUAGGUGCAAUUCAAUUGUGAGAGACGGAAUCUAAAACAAAAAUCCAGAAAAUCCCAUUGUAUGAUUUUUAAGUAAUUAUUUUGCAUUUUAUUGCAUGACAUAAGUAUUUGAUCACCUACCAACCAGUAAGAAUUCUGGCUCUCACAGACCUGUUGUCACGACUUCUGCCGAAGUCGUUGCCUCUCCUUGUUCGGGAGGUGCUCGGCGUUCGACGUCACCGGUCUUCUAGCCAUCAUUGAUCCAUUUUUCAUUUUCCAUUGGUUUUGUCUUGUCUUCCCACACACCUGUUUUCAAUCCCAUUCAUUACCUGUUGUGUAUUUAACCCUCUGAUUCCCGUCAUGUCUUUGUCAGAGAUUGUUUAUUGUCAGUGUAGUGUUGUUUGUUGUAUAGGUGCGCGUCGGGUCUUCGUACCCAUAUUUUGUUUAUGUUCUUUUCCUGUUUAGUGUUAUGGAGCAUGUUACUAGGACAUUAUUAAAAUACUCCAUUUUACACUCCAUUUGACUCUCCUGCGCCUGACUUCCCUGCCACCUAUACACAUAUGCCUGACAGAAUCUCUGACCAUACAAUAUGAAGUCAGCAGGAGAGGACACUAUGCUCAUGGAGCUGGAGGAACGCGUUCAGGAACAAGCGAGGGAGCUUGACUGUAUAAGCUCCGUCAUGAAUCGCAUUGUCCAGAAUAUGGAUCGCUGGGAGAGACAGGGAGUUUCUCCAGCGCCACCACCACCACAACCGGAAUCUCCCUUGAACGUUUUGUCCUCUUCGGAAUCGAAGAUCCAUUUAUCCCUACCCACGGGAUACAACGGAGAUACUGCCGGCUGCCAGGGUUUCCUCCUUAAGCUGAACUUAUAUCUAGCCACGGCCUCCCCAGUACCAUCUGACCGUGAGAAGAGUUACGCCCUCGUCUCAUGCCCCACCGGGAAAGCCCUGGAAUGGGCCAGCGCUGUUGUGUAGAAGGGAGGAUGCGGCGUUGGACCAUUUUGAGGAGUUCACCCGCCAAUUCCGGAUAGUAUUCGAUCAUCCACCUGAAGGCAAAGCAGUGGGGGAGCUCCUCUAUUAUCUGAGGCAGGAGACGAGGAGUGCACAGGAGUUUGCUUUGGAGUUUAGGACCUUGGCUGCCGGCGCUGGAUGGAGUGAUAGGGUCCUGAUCGACCAUUACCGUUGUAGUCUACGCGAGGACGUCCGUCGGGAGCUGGCCUGUAGAGACACCACCCUCACCUUCGACCAGCUGGUGGACAUGUCCAUCAAGCUGGACAACAUGCUGGCUACUCGUGGACGUCUAGAUCGGGGUCUGGUUGUUCCAUCCUCCCGCACCCUCUCUCCCGAACCAAUGGAAUUGGGAGGGAUGGUGCGCAGGCAGACCGGAGGGGGUUCUCGCUAGAGCACCAUUCAUGGUCGCAGAGGGCACACUGCUGGUCGGUGCCGGGUUGGUUCCUCUGGGAAUAGAGAAGGCAGGCAGGGCAUUCUGGCAUCACCCCAGGUGAGUAGGCACCAUUUUCAUCCUGAGCCCUCUGCUGCACUAAUGUUUGUCUCGGUCUCUUUUCCUGAUUUUUCUAUGCAUUCCCAGUAUAAGGCGCUAGAAGAUUCAGGUGCGGCUGGGAAUUUCAUUAAUAAAAGUCUAGCUCAUAGUUUAGGGAUCCCUAUUGUUCCUGUGGAUAUGCCUUUCCCUAUUCAUGCCUUAGAUAGUCGACCAUUAGGGUCAGGGUUUAUCAGGGAGGUAACCGCACCUUUGUGUAUGAUAACGCAGGAGGGUCACAAGGAGAAGAUGAGUCUUUUCCUUAUUGAUUCUCCUGCGUAUUCUGUGGUGCUAGGCCUACCCUGGUUAUCUUGCCAUAACCCCACUGUUUCUUGGCCACAGAGGGCUCUCACAGGGUGGUCGCAAGAAUGCUCAGGUAGGUGUUUAGGGGUUUCCGUUGGUGCUACUACGGUGGAAAGUCCAGACCAGGUCUCCACCGUGCGCAUUCCCCCCGAAUAUGCCGAUUUGGCUCUCGCCUUCUGUAAGCGCAUGUCCAGGCCCGUCUGAAGUUUGCCAAUGACCAUCUGGAUGAUCCAGAGGAGGAAUGGGAGAAGGUCAUGUGGUCUGAUGAGACAAAAAUAUGUAUUUUUGGUCUAAAUUCCACUCGCCGUGUUAGGAGGAAGAAGAAGGAUGAGUACGACCCCAAGAACACCAUCCCAACCGUAAAGCUUGGAGGUGGAAACAUCAUUCUUUGGUGAUGCUUUUCUGCAAAGGGGACAGGACGACUGCACCGUAUUGAGAGGAGGAUGGAUGGGGCCAUGUAUCGCGAGAUCUUGGCCAACAACCUCCUUCCCUCAGUAAGAGCAUUAAAGAUGGGUCGUGGCUGGGUCUUCCAGCAUGACAACGACCCGAAACACACAACCAGGGCAUCUAAGGAGUGGCUCCGUAAGAAGCAUCUCAAGGUCCUGGAGUGGCCUAGCCAGUCUCCAGACCUGAACCCAAUAGAACAUCUUUGGAGGGAGCUGAAAGUCCAUAUUGCCCAGCGACAGCCCCGAAACCUGAAGGAUCUGGAGAAGGUCUGUAUGGAGGAGUGGGCCAAAAUCCCUGCUGCUGUGUGUGCAAACCUGGUCAAGAACUACAGGAGACGUAUGAUCUCUGUAAUUGCAAACAAAGGUUUCUGUACCAAAUAUUAAGUUCUGCUUUUCUGAUGUAUCAAAUACUUAUGUCAUGCAAUAAAAUGCAAAUUAAUUGCUUAAAAAUCAUACAAUGUGAUUUUCUGUAUUUUCUUUUUAGAUUCCGUCUCUCACAGUUGAAGUGUACCUAUGAUAAAAAUUACAGACCUCUACAUGCUUUGUAAGUAGGAAAACCUGCAAAAUUGGCGGUGUAUCAAAUACUUGUUCUCCCCACUGUAUAGCGUUUUUGAAUGAAACUCUUCAUAACAUUUCACAAACAAAAAGUUUAUUUUAAUACACUCUCACUUUGAUUUUCUAUGGAAAACCUUCACUCCCUACAUGCGGGAACCAUGAGAGGGCUCACAGUGAACACAUGACCUGUGUGGUGUAACAGUGUUUCUCAACCAUUAUUUCAACUUGCACUUGACAACUGACUUGAGUUUGUGUCAGAGAAACACCGUAACAGACACAGCUAAUAAAAGGGCAUAGUGUUUCUCUAAAUAACUUACAGUAUAAGACUGAAACAAAGUUCUCACAGUGUAAAUCUGGUGUGAUCAUUUAUUUUGGAUCACAUUAAAUCUUAUCUCUUGAGAGAUCUCUUGUUCGCUUAAGUAUAUACGGGGUGGCAGGUAGCCUAGUGGUUAGAGCGUUGUAAUAGUAACUGAAAGGUUACAACAUCGAAUCCCCGAAGCUGACAAGGUAAAAAGCUGUUGUUCUGCCACUGAACAAGGCAGUUAACGCACUGUUCCUAGCCCAUCAUUGAAAAUAAGAAUUUGUUCUGAACUGGCUUGCCUAGUUAAAUAAAGGUAGAAAUAAAUGUAUCUUAUCCUAUAUACUGAAAUGUUUAUGCAUCGGUGAAAUGAAGAAGUGAGAUUAUGGUUGUGUUCAAACAUUUCCUUCCCCAUCCCUGAAAUGACACAAUCAUUUACAUGUUUUAUUCAAAUAGCCUAGUGACAUUCUGAUUUAUAACGUGGACGGUAGUUUGUUGUUUGUAAUCCAAGUUUGGGACUUCAAUAAGGGAACCUAUAGUUGCCACAUCAGUAGAUGCCUAUUAUAAAGGAACAUGUUUAUGAUGUUUGGACUUCUGAUUAUGUCAGCAGAAUCCUCUUAUGGCAUGGUGACCUCCUGUAAUGCUACACAGAACAUGUCGUGUUACGGAGCUCUGGGAGGAACUGUUUAUCUCCAGCUGAUGAAUGAUGCCACAGGAUCCGAACUCACAUUCAAAAAAGACCCCACUGGUGCACAAACAGUGAUAUUCAAAAUAAAACAAAACAAAAUUGUCCAUGAAUUCAUUAAAGCCAGAUCAGAGUUCUUUAUCAAUAAUGGAACAUUAAAAAUAAAUAGCACAGAGAGGAGUGAUUCUGCUGAAUAUUCUUUAGAAAUCUUCAAGUCAGAUGGACUUUACUUGGACACGAGAGUAGUACAACUGAUAAUUGGAGGUGAGGAGCUAAAAAACACAUCUAUUUGCCAAAUAAGAAUAUUCCAUAGAAGCCAAAGGCAAUUUAUCUUGAACGCUUGAACGUUGUCAUGCAUGAUUUGUGUUGGACUGUGUCAAACCCCCCACCCACCACCCACCACCACUAUUUCCCCUCACCAUAUCAUGCAGGAGGAUCUUAUGGCACUGCCAUAGGAUCACUAGUAGCUGUGGUCCUGGUCCUUGCAGUGGUGGUGGGAGCUUACUGUAUUCGCAAGAGGAGGACCCCUCCACAGGCAUCAGAUGCUGUUGAGAGUCCAGAACUGGAAUGUGAUGACAUCACGAUUCUAAAGAAGAGGGAGAAACAGAGAGAGGUUCCAGAGGAGGUGGUGUAUGGACAGAUUGUAGUGCUGGAGGGUGCCAGACCAAACACGGAGAGAGACAGACCUGAGGGGCAGGAGGAGACUUUGUAUGCUGGAAUACAGCUUGGCCAAUGAGAGCUGCAUGUUUGAAGGGUUGGUCUUUAGAAGUGGUACUGAAGCCUUGCUUCUCCAUUUGUUACUGUAACGAAUUGGAUUAACUUUCCCAUAUUACUGUUUAUAUUUCAUGCCAUUCAAUGCUGAGGGUUUUGUACAUUAUUUACCUAAAUAAAUAUCCCAACAAAUGGACUGUC